rnacentral:misc_RNA from 1 species
GUUUGUGUUAUGAAGCUGUACUCUUCCCAACCAGUCGUUCCCCAUACAUAAUCGCCAACUUUAAAAUCUGGAUGACCAGAAUCCAAAACUUUGCAGACACCAAAACCAGUUAUGGGCGAGCCCGGGACAAAGUCGGGGACAUAGCUUGGCUCAUCGUGCUUGCUCAUCCGGGACCGCAUGUAAGGGUCGCAAGAGAGGUAGAGGUUCUUCACCAGCAGCGCCGUCGAUCCCUCCGGCACCUUGAGCUCCACCGUCUCCCCCGUCACCACCUCCAUGUGGCUCUCCUUCGGGAAGCCGGUGAUGAAGUCCUUCAGGAUCACCUUCUUGUUCUCCCUCACCUCCGCCAUUUU